GCCGGGUUAGUUCAGUUGGUUAGAACAUGGUGCUAAUAACACCAAGUUCACAGGUUCAGUCCCUGCUUACUGCA
rnacentral:tRNA from 1 species